GGUUCCGGAAGGUUGAAUGAGGUAGAAGGCUCUUGGGAAGGAACAGCGACCACCUUCCUGCUUCUCAUCGCCACGACCAUCCUGGCUGGACCCAGACAGUGACGAGGGCUGGGGAGGGCCAGCACGUGCCCAGGUUUCCAGGAGGGGCCACCUGUUUAUCGUCUUUGCGAAGAAGAAAACGCUUUGAGUGCCCGGAUGUUUCAGCAACCAAAGACACGUUGUGAUGGCCAGGACUCAUGACAAGUGGCAGCGCUGUGAAGAAUGAUCUCUCUGGACCUGGAAGGGCUAAACUUCCCAUGGCUCAUGAAGAGCAGACUGAGGACCCCAAACUGGACAGGAGUAAAACCAAAGGUACUGCCGGGCUGUGGACCGCUCGUAAAGACGGGAGAGUCCUUCUGAGGCUGUCGAGCCACGGGGCCGGCCACGAGACCCCUGUGACCGUCCCUCAGUUUUUUCGGGAGUCGGCCAGCCGAUUUGGGGCUUACCCAGCCCUCGCAACAAAGAAGAAUGAACAGUGGGAAACUCUGAACUUCAACCAGUACUACAAGGCCUGUCGGAAGGCUGCGAGGGCCUUGAUCAAGCUGGGCCUGCAGCGUUUCCACGGAGUCGGCAUCCUGGGGUUCAACUCUGUCGAGUGGCUUAUUGCUUCUCUGGGCGCCAUCUUAGCAGGGGGUCUCUGUGUUGGUAUUUAUUCCACCAACUCUGCGGACGCUUGUCAGUACGUCAUUACGCAUGCCAAAGUGAACAUCCUGCUGGUUGAGAAUGACCUACAGCUGCAGAAAGUCCUUUCGAUUCCACAGGGCCGGAUGGAGACCCUCAAAGCCAUCGUCCAGUACAAGCCGCCCAUGCAGAAGAAGGGUGACAACCUGUACUCUUGGAAUGAUUUCAUGGAACUUGGCAACAGCGUCCCCGAAUCCCAGCUGGACCAGAUCAUAGACGAGCAGAGGGCCAAUCAGUGCGCUGUGCUCAUCUACACUUCCGGGACCACAGGCAACCCCAAGGGGGUGAUGCUCAGCCACGACAACAUCACGUGGACGGCCGGCGCGGUGGCGAGGAACUGCGGCCUGUCCUAUGCCUCCCAGAAGCAGGAGGUGGUGGUCAGCUACCUGCCGCUCAGCCACAUUGCGGCUCAGAUGAUGGACGUCUGGGUGCCCAUGAAGAUCGGGGCCUGCACCUACUUCGCCCAGCCGAACGCUCUCAAGGGCACCCUGAUCAGCACUCUGCAGGAGGUACGGCCCACUGCCUUCCUGGGGGUGCCCCGAGUCUGGGAGAAGAUGCAGGAGAGGGUAAAGGAAGCUGGUGCCAGGUUCUCAAGCUUGAGGAAGAAGGUGUUUACGUGGGGAAGAGUUGUCGGCUUAAAGAUCAAUACUAAAAGGAUGCUGGGGACAAAUGAUAUUCCCAUGAGCUACCGCAUAGCAAUGGCCCUCGUGUUCAGCAAAGUCAAGAGCACCCUUGGCCUUGAUCGCUGCCACUCUUUUAUCAGCGGAGCUGCACCCCUCGACCAAGAGACCUCUGAGUUCUUCCUAAGCCUGGACAUACGUAUAGGCGAGAUGUACGGGUUGAGCGAAAGCUCCGGACCCCACACCGUAUCCACCCAGGAGACCUACAGGAUCCGAAGCUGCGGCAAGGCCAUGGAAGGGUGCAAGACCCUGCUGUACCAGCAGAACAAGGACAGCGUCGGGGAGAUCUGCGUCUGGGGCCGCCACGUCUUCAUGGGCUACCUGGACAUGGAGGACAUGACCACCGAGGUCAUUGACGAGGAGGGCUGGCUGCACACCGGUGACCUGGGCUACAUAGACCACCAGGCCUUCCUCUACAUCACCGGCCGCAUCAAAGAAAUCCUCAUCACGGCGGGCGGGGAGAACGUGGCCCCGGUCCCCAUCGAGAACACGGUGAAGGAGAAGAUCCCCAUCGUCAGUCACGCCAUGGUGGUGGGGGAGAAGGCGAACUUCCUGUGCGUCCUGCUGACGCUGAAGUGUCAGAUAGACGGGACAACCGGACAGCCACUGGACAACCUAAGCCCGGAGGCCAUCGACUUCUGCCAGAGACUGGGGAGCAAGGCGUCCACCGUCUCUGAGAUUCUGGCGCUGCGGGACCCCCUGGUCUACAAGGCCAUCCAGGAGGGCAUCAACGCCGUGAACGAGGAAGCCAUCUCCAACGCACAGAGGAUCCAGAAGUGGGCCAUCCUGGAGAAGGACUUCUCCAUCCCCGGUGGAGAGCUGGGUCCGACGACAAAGAUUAAGAGACACUUUGUGGUCCAAAAAUACAAAAGGCUAAUCGACAGCUUCUACUACUGACUUCUCUGGUGGAAGUGCUCCUGGCCGCCCCCACGGAAUAUUUUCAUCCUUCGGUAACUAUGGGGUCUCGGAGAAUGAACACAUUGAUUUUGAGGCUCUCCAGGUACUCACUUUCUUCUCCCUCCAGCUUUUACCAGGAAGACCUGUUACCAGACUUUCCAGUCCAGAGGACUGAGACAUCAGAAAGAAAAGCUUUCACAAGCUUGGAGAAGUGGGUCCCCAAACCAACUCAUCAUCCUAAAAGUGACCUGGAAACCCUUCCGAUGAGCUCUGAUAAUAAAGCACUUCGGCAUCCCGGGUCCUGAUUUGGGGCCAGAUUCAAA